GGAACGUUAGCUCAGCUGGAUAGAGCACACGCCUUCUAAGCGUGCGGCCGAAGGUUCGAAUCCUUUACGUUCCGCCA
rnacentral:tRNA from 2 species